rnacentral:rRNA from 1 species
AACGAACGCUGGCGGCAUGCCUAACACAUGCAAGUCGAACGAGACCUUCGGGUCUAGUGGCGCACGGGUGCGUAACGCGUGGGAACCUGCCCUUAGGUUCGGAAUAACUCCCCGAAAGGGGUGCUAAUACCGGAUAAUGUCUUCGGACCAAAGAUUUAUCGCCUUUGGAUGGGCCCGCGUUGGAUUAGCUAGUUGGUAGGGUAAAAGCCUACCAAAGCGACGAUCCAUAGCUGGUCUGAGAGGAUGAUCAGCCACACUGGGACUGAUACACGGCCCAGACUCCUACGGGAGGCAGCAGUGGGGAAUAUUGGACAAUGGGCGAAAGCCUGAUCCAGCAAUGCCGCGUGAGUGAUGAAGGCCUUAGGGUUGUAAAGCUCUUUUACCCGGGAUGAUAAUGACAGUACCGGGAGAAUAAGCUCCGGCUAACUCCGUG